ACGAACGCUGGCGGCGUGCUUAACACAUGCAAGUCGAACGGAAAGGCCCUGCUUGCAGGGUACUCGAGUGGCGAACGGGUGAGUAACACGUGGGUGAUCUGCCCUGCACUUCGGGAUAAGCCUGGGAAACUGGGUCUAAUACCGGAUAGGAGCCAUUUUUAGUGUGAUGGUUGGAAAGUUUUUUCGGUGUAGGAUGAGCUCGCGGCCUAUCAGCUUGUUGGUGGGGUAAUGGCCUACCAAGGCGGCGACGGGUAGCCGGCCUGAGGGGGUGGACGGCCACAUUGGGACUGAGGGACGGCCCAGGCUCCUACGGGAGGCAGCAGUGGGGAAGAUUGCACAAUGGGCGCAAGCCUGAUGCAGCGACGCCGCGGGGGGGAUGACGGCCUUCGGGUUGUAAAAUCCUUUCGCUAGGGACGAAGCUUUUUGUGACGGUACCUAGAUAAGAAGCACCGGCUAACUACGUG
rnacentral:rRNA from 1 species